AUUUGCUGCUUGUUUGCAAAGUGCACACCCCCUAGCCAGCUCCUCUGUGUUUGUGUGGUUGAGGAUUUGUUACCUGGUGCAUCUUUGGCUACGAGUUUUUCAUGUCUGGAUUUAUUUCCUAUUUCUUUGUGACCUCAUGCCCUUGCUUCAGUCAUUUUCACCUGUGGCCCAGAACUCAACCACGGUGCCUCCUUGUCACCUGUGCCACCCCGAGGAAUGGAGGCCACUGUGGGGGAGGGGGCAGGUGUUCCCAAAGAUAAGGAGGGGAGGGAACCUGGAGUGCGCCCGCCAGUGGGGAGAUGCCACGGCGCCACGGCAAGCAGUGCGGGUUUGACCACUGACUUCUGUCGCCUGCAUCACCGUACGUUGGCUUGGAAUAAAAGUGCCAAGCAACAGUGCUUUUCUUUCAGAUGUGUCACUGCCGUGAUCCGAUUCACUUUGUGCAGGAGAAAUCUGCAACCCCCUUGGGCCUCGUUGUUCUACGGUGGCCGGUGGCCGUUGUGAUGUUCGGACGGGAUCCUCAGGGUUGCUGCACAUUUUCUCCUGAACAUCAUGUCUCCACUUUGCCAUCUGGAUGAUGGGCAUGCUCCCAACAGAACCUGCCACAGAGGGUCACCCAACGGAUGGAAUAAGCUAACCUUUGUUCAGGACUGGGAACAGUGCUUGGAAUGCAGACACCGCUCUCCUCCCAGAGAGGAAGAGAGUGUGGCCCUCUGCACUGGGGAAUGUGAAGCAGAUCCAAGCCUUUCAACUCGAAAAUGCCCGCACGGUGCAUUGAAGUUUAUUCAGGCUUCCCCUUCCUCCAGUCUUCAGGACACAGACCGACGAGAAGGGAGAACUGAAGACAGAGUGCAGGAAAGGACCCAACCCAGUGGGGACUGCUUGGCAGGCACCUGGCAAGGAGUCUGGGGCUACCUGUGAGCAGAGCUGGGCAGCAGGUUCAAUGGAGCGGUGUGGCAAGGCUGAGGGGCAGAAGUGGCCCAGAGACUGGGGCAGCACUGUAGGUGAUUAAGCAAAUGCUGAGAGCAAAGACCAGUUGGAAAAUCAGAGCCAAGGGGAGAUUUCAGAUGGGAGCUUGGCCACCUGGUGGAGAUGGCAGCCACAGUGUUUGGAGUGUCUGCCUGUUGAGAUGAAGAGAACGAUGAGGAA